rnacentral:rRNA from 1 species
GAUCCUGCUCAGGAUGAACGCUAGCUACAGGCUUAACACGUGCAAGUCGAGGGGCAGCAUUUCAGUUUGCUUGCAAACUGGAGAUGGCGACCGGCGCACGGGUGAGUAACACGUAUCCAACCUGCCGAUAACUCGGGGAUAGCCUUUCGAAAGAAAGAUUAAUACCCGAUGGCAUAAUUAGACCGCAUGGUCUUAUUAUUAAAGAAUUUCGGUUAUCGAUGGGGAUGCGUUCCAUUAGGCAGUUGG